rnacentral:rRNA from 1 species
GACGAACGCUGGCGGCGUGCUUAACACAUGCAAGUCGAGCGGCGCGGCGAACGGGUGAGUAACGCGUGAGUAACUGCCCCCCUCUCUGGGGUAACAGUUGGAAACGGCUGCUAAUACAGGAUAGUGGGGGAUGACUCGAGUCCUAUCGGCUUGUUGGUGGGGUAUGGGCCUACCAAGGCGACGACGGGUAGCCGGCCUGAGAGGGCGACCGGCCACAUGGGGCUGCGAGAGGGCACAAACUGGUAUGGGAGGCAGCAGUGGGGAAUAUUGCAGAAGGGGGGAAAGCCUGAGGCAGCAAUGCCGGGUGCGGGAGGACGGGUUGCGAGUGGUAAACAGCUUUCAGACAUGACGCGGUAGUGGCAGAGGAAGCACCGGCUAACUACGUGCCAGCCGCCGCGGUAAUAC